UACGUAGGGGGCGAGCGUUGUCCGGAAUCAUUGGGCGUAAGGCGCGUGUAGGCGGCCCGGUAAGUCCGCUGUGAAAGUCAAAGGCUCAACCUUUGAAUGCCGCUGGAUACUGCUUGACUUGAGUCCGGAAGGGGCGAGUGGAAUUCCUGGUGUAGCGGUGAAAUGCGCAGAUAUCAGGAGGAACACCUAUUGCGAAGGCAGCUCGCUGGGACGUAACUGACGCUGAGACGCGAAAGCGUGGGGAGCAAACAGG
rnacentral:rRNA from 1 species